AGUAAAAUGACUGAGGUUUAGGUGUUAAACUGUAAAUUUAAUCACGGGUGUUCCCCUUUUAUUA
rnacentral:tRNA from 1 species